GGGCCCGUAGUCUAUUGGUUUGAGGACGCGACCUUCACACGGUCGAGAGUGGAGUUCGACUCUCCGCGGGCCCA
rnacentral:tRNA from 1 species